CCUACGGGAGGCAGCAGUGGGGAAUAUUGGGCAAUGGACGCAAGCCUGACCCAGCAACGCCGCGUGAAGGAAGAAGGCUUUCGGGUUGUAAACUUCUUUUUAGGGGGAAGAGCAGAAGACGGUACCUCUUGAAUAAGCCACGGCUAACUACGUGCCAGCAGCCGCGGUAAUACGUAGGUGGCAAGCGUUGUCCGGAUUUACUGGGUGUAAAGGGCGUGCAGCCGGGGAGACAAGUCAGAUGUGAAAUCCACGGGCUCAACCCGUGAACUGCAUUUGAAACUGUUUGCCUAGAGUAUCGGAGAGGUAAUCGGAAUUCCUGGUGUAGCGGUGAAAUGCGUAGAUAUUAGGAAGAACACCAGUGGCGAAGGCGGAUGACUGGACGAUAACUGACGGUGAGGCGCGAAAGCGUGGGGAGCAAACAGGAUUAGAUACCCGUGUAGUC
rnacentral:rRNA from 1 species